rnacentral:rRNA from 1 species
AGCGAACGCUGGCGGCAGGCUUAACACAUGCAAGUCGAACGCAUCCUUCGGGGUGAGUGGCAGACGGGUGAGUAACGCGUGGGAACAUGCCCUUUGGUUCGGAAUAACUCAGGGAAACUUGAGCUAAUACCGGAUAAGCCCUUUUGGGGAAAGAUUUAUCGCCGAAGGAUUGGCCCGCGUCCGAUUAGCUAGUUGGUGAGGUAAUGGCUCACCAAGGCGACGAUCGGUAGCUGGUCUGAGAGGAUGAUCAGCCACACUGGGACUGAGACACGGCCCAGACUCCUACGGGAGGCAGCAGUGGGGAAUAUUGGACAAUGGGGGCAACCCUGAUCCAGCCAUGCCGCGUGAGUGAUGAAGGCCCUAGGGUUGUAAAGCUCUUUCGGCGGGGACGAUAAUGGCGGUACCCGCAGAAGAAGCCCCGGCUAACUUCGUGCCAGCCGCCGCUGUAA